UUUCCGUAGGUGAACCUGCGGAAGGAUCAUUAUUGGAUUUUGAAACUUCAGGCUGCUGCUGGCUCUCCUCGGAGGGCAUGUGCACGCUUGUUGUCCAUUAUUUCUCCCACUGUGCACAAAUUGUAGACCUUUCAGUAGGCCUAUGUUGUUUUUCACAAUCUCUGAAUGUAAUAGAAUGGUUUUGAAUCUUGGGAAAUACAAUACAACUUUCAGCAACGGAUCGCUGGGCUCUCGCAUCGAGGAAGAACGCAGC
rnacentral:misc_RNA from 1 species